CAGAACAUAACCGAACAAAAACAAAUUAAUGAAGCCCUAUGGAUAACGGUGACCAGAGAGGAAAGAGUUGCAAAUCUACUGGGGGUGGCAGGAACUGAUGUCCCAAUUGAGUACAUUCAAAGACUGAUGCUACCUUACCGGUUGGGUGUAAAUGGUUAUGGAUUUAUUGUAUCCAAUAAUGGAUACAUUCUGAUACAUCCUGAUUUAAGGCCAGUG